CUUCAAUUUUUUAUAAAAUAAGUAUUUUUUUUUCCUUUCAAAUAUCCUUUUAAGUCAUCUCAAUAUUCUGUUUAACGCGCUUAAUUACAAUGGUUAUAACGAAUGUAAUUGGCUAUUUAUGAAAAGUCUAAUUUAAUGCUCUUAGUUAUAACGAUUACGAUUUGUUCUCUUGGGCAGUUUAAUGACAUAGGCAACACAAGGGCCAUGCGAAUUAUGCCGUCGCAUAGAAAGCCAGUGUGGCUGGGGUGCUGCGCUCGCGCAGACAAUAAUAUUAUUUUUUCCGUUUUUUUUUUUAAAUCAUAUAAUUGAUUUUAAAAAGUAAACUUAAAUAUAACUUUUGGUAUCCAUAAUGUGUAGAAGUUCUUUAUAUAAACUAAGUUCUUUAUAUAUUAGAGGCGCCAAAUUUUUUAUGCAUGACUAUUCAUUUUAUACAUUUUUGCUCAGCACUUCAAUAAAAAAAUAAUUAGAUCAAGUAGUAGUUAAUUAAUCGUUGAAAGAGUAAGUUUGUGAGUUAACUGUUUUAUCUAAACCGUGUUUUUUUUUUUUUUAUGUUAAAUGUUUAAUUUAACAUAGAUAAAAAUUGUAAUCGUGAAUUUACAUUUAAGGGCGCCAUAGUUAUUAUUUUAAACUAUUGAUUUUGUACGUAUUUGCAAAACGUAAGGCAAAAAAAGUUUGAAGAUUAUCUAUAUUAUUAAACAAUUAUUAAACUAAUAAUCUUGUUAAUUUAAUAAUGAUGAUUUGGUAUUUAUUAAUUUCUUUGAUCAAAAGUGUAUUUCAUAACGCUUACAGCUCCGUAGUCAAUUUUUAUGUAAAGUACGAUAUACAUUUAAUCAAAUAUUAUGUUUUUGUUGUAUUUUAAGGGUUUUAAUAAAUAUGCGCAAAUUACCAAAAUAUAUUGUAUGAUAAAUUGAUAAUAAACAUAUAUAUUUUUUUAUGAUAGGGGGCGCCAAACCUUGAUCUUGCAUAUGGCAAAAAAAUCCUUAAACCGGCUGAUCAUUGAUAUCAAAUUUAACUGUUUUAACAUGAAUAAAUCAGGUGAAUCAAUUGCAAUUGGUGGAAUAUCUUUAAAAUGCUGAGAGUAUUUUCCAACAACUUUGUGACCUCCAUAAAUAUAAAGGGGAAAGGUGGAAAUAUGCUUUAAGAGCACUAAUUUAUACGGUGUAGUGAAAGGUAUACCUUUAUAAGAUAUGUAAAACUUUUUUAUUCUCAUUUUUUAUAUAUUCAAAAAUUUCUCCUUG